rnacentral:rRNA from 1 species
GAUGAACGCUGGCGGCGUGCCUAAUACAUGCAAGUCGAGCGAACAGACGAGGAGCUUGCUCCUCUGACGUUAGCGGCGGACGGGUGAGUAACACGUGGAUAACCUACCUAUAAGACUGGGAUAACUUCGGGAAACCGGAGCUAAUACCGGAUAAUAUAUUGAACCGCAUGGUUCAAUAGUGAAAGACGGUUUUGCUGUCACUUAUAGAUGGAUCCGCGCCGCAUUAGCUAGUUGGUAAGGUAACGGCUUACCAAGGCAACGAUGCGUAGCCGACCUGCGAGAGUGAUCGGCCACACGGGAACGGAGACACGGUCCAGACUCCUACGGGAGGCAGCAGUAGGGAAUCUUCCGCAAUGGUCGAAAGCUUGACGGAGCAACGCCGCGUGAGUGAUGAAGGUCUUCGGAUCGGAAAACUCUGUUAUUAGGGAAGAACAAAUGUGUAAGUAACUAUGCACGUCUUGACGGUACCUAAUCAGAAAGCCACGGCUAACUACGUG